rnacentral:lncRNA from 1 species
GGAAACUGAGGCACAGCCGGGGCUGGUCCCUGUGGAUUCUGAUCUUUGUGUCCCUGUGGGAGCUGCGCUGGGGUCCGGCCUUCACUGGGGGAGAUGCCAGCCCACGACUGCUCCCUGCGCAUCACAGGGGUAACCCCCCAGGACAGUGGGGGCUACACCCUCGUCUGCCAGGCUGGCGGGCGCUGCGCCGAGGCCCUCAGGCACCUGCAGAUCUCUGUUUGACCAGAUGGGGCCGGGAUCCACCCCGAAUGGGGCCAGCAAGAACGGGGGUGGGAGUGACCAGUCUCCCCAUCCCAUCCCAGUCACCAGCGACAGGGCCGGCUCCAGCUUUUCUGCCGCCCCAAGUGGCAAAGGGGGAGAAAAAAGAUAAAGCCACGAUCGGCGGCACCUCUACCGCGUGCUUCAUUCUUCGGUGGCAAUUCGGCGGCAGGUCCUUCGCUCCAAGGGGCUGAGGAACCCGCCACCAAAGACCUGGACGCGCUGCCCCAAGCACCUGCUGCCUGCACUGGAACCUGGAGCUGGCCCUGACCAGCACCCCCACCCCUUAUCCCCCACCGAACCUCAAUGAAAGUCUUCGGCAGCUGGGGUGGGGUGGGGGAGUCUCUGUGCAAUGGCAGCCCCUAAGUCUCCAUCCCACACCCCAAGCCAGACCAGAGAAGAAGGGAGACUGUCUCAGAGGAACAAGGUUUAAU